AGUGAACGCUGGCGGUAGGCCUAACACAUGCAAGUCGAACGGCAGCACAGUAAGAGCUUGCUCUUACGGGUGGCGAGUGGCGGACGGGUGCGGAAUACAUCGGAAUCUACUUUUUCGUGGGGGAUAACGCAGGGAAACUUACGCUAAUACCGCAUACGACCUACGGGUGAAAGCAGGGGAUCUUCGGACCUUGCGCGAUUCAAUGAGCCGAUGUCGGAUUAGCUAGUUGGCGGGGUAAAGGCCCACCAAGGCGACGAUCCGUAGCUGGUCUGAGAGGAUGAUCAGCCACACUGGAACUGAGACACGGUCCAGACUCCUACGGGAGGCAGCAGUGGGGAAUAUUGGACAAUGGGCGAAAGCCUGAUCCAGCCAUACCGCGUGUGUGAAGAAGGCCUUCGGGUUGUAAAGCCCUUUUGUUGGGAAAGAAAAGCAGCAAGUUAAUACCCCGCUGUUCUGACGGUACCCAAAGAAUGAGCACCGGCUAACUUCGUG
rnacentral:rRNA from 1 species